GAUGAACGCUGGCGGCGUGCCUAAUACAUGCAAGUCGAGCGAACCACUUCGGUGGAGAGCGGCGAACGGGUGAGUAACACGUAGGAAUCUGCCCAUUAGACGGGGACAACGAUUGGAAACGAUCGCUAAUACCGGAUAGGACGAAAGUUUAAAGAUGCUUCUGGCAUCGCUAAUGGAUGAGCCUGCGGCGCAUUAGCUAGUUGGAGAGGUAAGAGCUCCCCAAGGCGACGAUGCGUAGCCGACCUGAGAGGGUGAACGGCCACACUGGGACUGAGACACGGCCCAGACUCCUACGGGAGGCAGCAGUAGGGAAUCUUCGGCAAUGGACGAAAGUCUGACCGAGCAACGCCGCGUGAACGAUGAAGGCCUUCGGGUUGUAAAGUUCUGUUAUAAGGGAAGAAAGACUAUCAUAGGAAAUGAUGAUAGAGUGACGGUACCUUAUGAGAAAGCCACGGCUAACUACGUGCCAGCCGCCGCCGUAACAC
rnacentral:rRNA from 1 species